rnacentral:rRNA from 1 species
GACGAACGCUGGCGGCGUGCUUAACACAUGCAAGUCGAACGGAAAGGCCCUGCUUUUGUGGGGUGCUCGAGUGGCGAACGGGUGAGUAACACGUGAGUAACCUGCCCUUGACUUUGGGAUAACUUCAGGAAACUGGGGCUAAUACCGGAUAGGAGCUCCUGCUGCAUGGUGGGGGUUGGAAAGGUUCGGCGGUUGGGGAUGGACUCGCGGCUUAUCAGCUUGUUGGUGGGGUAGUGGCUUACCAAGGCUUUGACGGGUAGCCGGCCUGAGAGGGUGACCGGCGACAGUGGGACUGAGAUACGGACCAGACUCCUACGGGAGGCAGCGGGGGGGAAUAUUGCACAGUGGGCGGAAGCCUGAGGCAGCAACGCCGCGUGCGGGAUGACGGCCUUCGGGUUGUAAACCGCUUUCGCCUGUGACGAAGCGUGAGUGACGGUAAUGGGUAAAGAAGCACCGGCUAACUACGUG